rnacentral:rRNA from 1 species
GACGAACGCUGGCGGCGUGCCUAAUACAUGCAAGUAGAACGAGUUGCGAACGGGUGAGUAACGCGUUGUAACCUGCCGCAUAGCGGGGGAUAACUACUGGAAACGGUAGCUAAUACCGCAUACCAUCGGAUGUGCCCAGAUGGGAUGAGCUAGUGGGUGGGGUACCGGCUCACCUACGCGACGAGCCCUAACUGGUCUGAGAGGAUGACCAGCCACACUGGAACUGAGACACUGUCCAGCCGCCUACGGGAGGCAGCAGUGGAGAAUAUUGGACAAUGGGCGCAAGCCUGAUGCAGCCAUGCCGCGUGUAUGAAGAAGGCCUUCGGGUUGUAAAGUACUUUCAGCGAGGAGGCGUUACUCGCAGAAGAAGCACCGGCUAACUCCGUGCCAGCAGCCGCGGUAAUAC